rnacentral:rRNA from 1 species
AACGAACGCUGGCGGCAUGCCUAACACAUGCAAGUCGAACGAGACCUUCGGGUCUAGUGGCGCACGGGUGCGUAACGCGUGGGAACCUGCCCUUAGGUUCGGAAUAACUCCCCGAAAGGGGUGCUAAUACCGGAUAAUGUCUUCGGACCAAAGAUUUAUCGCCUUUGGAUGGGCCCGCGUUGGAUUAGCUAGUUGGUAGGGUAAAAGCCUACCAAGGCGACGAUCCAUAGCUGGUCUGAGAGGAUGAUCAGCCACACUGGGACUGAGACACGGCCCAGACCCCUACGGGAGGCAGCAGGGGGGAAUUUUGGACAAGGGGCGAAAGCCUGCUCCAGCAAGGCCGGGGGAGUGAUGAAGGCCUUAGGUUUGUAAAGCUCUUUUACCCGGGAUGAAAAUGACAGUACCGGGAAAAUAAGCCCCGGCUAACUCCGU